GUCGAGGGGUAGUUACUUUCGGGUAAUGAGACCGGCGCACGGGUGCGUAACGCGUGUGCAAUCUACCUUUUACAGGGGAAUAGCCCAGAGAAAUUUGGAUUAAUGCCCCGUAGUAUGUAUGAAUCGCAUGGUUUAUAUAUUAAAGUUCCAACGGUAAAAGAUGAGCAUGCGUCCCAUUAGUUAGUUGGUAAGGUAACGGCUUACCAAGACGAUGAUGGGUAGGGGUCCUGAGAGGGAGAUCCCCCACACUGGUACUGAGACACGGACCAGACUCCUACGGGAGGCAGCAGUGAGGAAUAUUGGACAAUGGGCGCAAGCCUGAUCCAGCCAUGCCGCGUGCAGGAAGAAGCAUCUAUGGUGUGUAAACUGCUUUUGUACAGGAAGAAACACUCCCUCGUGAGGGAGCUUGACGGUACUGUAAGAAUAAGGAUCGGCUAACUCCGUGCCAGCAGCCGCGGUAAUACGGAGGAUCCAAGCGUUAUCCGGAAUCAUUGGGUUUAAAGGGUCCGUAGGCGGUUUGAUAAGUCAGUGGUGAAAGCCUAUCGCUCAACGAUGGAACGGCCAUUGAUACUGUCAGACUUGAAUUACAAGGAAGUAACUAGAAUAUGUAGUGUAGCGGUGAAAUGCUUAGAUAUUACAUGGAAUACCAAUUGCGAAGGCAGGUUACUACUUGUGGAUUGACGCUGAUGGACGAAAGCGUGGGGAGCGAACAGGAUUAGAUACCCUGGUAGUCCACGCCGUAAACGAUGGAUACUAGCUGUUGGGAGCAAUCUCAGUGGCUAAGCGAAAGUGAUAAGUAUCCCACCUGGGGAGUACGUUCGCAAGAAUGA
rnacentral:rRNA from 1 species